rnacentral:rRNA from 1 species
UACGAAGGGGGCUAGCGUUGUUCGGAAUCACUGGGCGUAAAGCGCACGUAGGCGGAUUGUUAAGUCGGGGGUGAAAUCCUGAGGCUCAACCUCAGAACUGCCUUCGAUACUGGCAAUCUCGAGUCCGGAAGAGGUUGGUGGAACAGCUAGUGUAGAGGUGAAAUUUGUAGAUAUUAGCUAGAACACCAGUGGCGAAGGCGGCCAACUGGUCCGGUACUGACGCUGAGGUGCGAAAGCGUGGGGAGCAAACAGG